AUCGCUUCUCGGCCUUUUGGCUAAGAUCAAGUGUAGUAUCUGUUCUUAUCCUAUCUAAUAAAAGAGAAAAAUGGUAAUUGGCGUACGACGAUACCCUUUUCAUUGGCUAAUCAGGGCUAUAUGCAAAUUAACUGCCAACUAUGAUUGGCAGUUAACUGCCAACUAAGGUUGGCAGUUAACUGCCAACAAG